rnacentral:rRNA from 1 species
GAUGAACGCUGGCGGCGUGCCUAAUACAUGCAAGUCGAGCGAACGGACGAGAAGCUUGCUUCUCUGAUGUUAGCGGCGGACGGGUGAGUAACACGUGGAUAACCUACCUAUAAGACUGGGAUAACUUCGGGAAACCGUAGCUAAUACCGGAUAAUAUUUUGAACCGCAUGGUUCGAAAGUGAAAGACGGUCUUGCUGUCACUUAUAGAUGGAUCCGCGCUGCAUUAGCUAGUUGGUAAGGUAACGGCUUACCAAGGCAACGAUGCAUAGCCGACCUGAGAGGGUGAUCGGCCACACUGGAACUGAGACACGGUCCAGACUCCUACGGAAGGCAGCAGUAGGGAAUCUUCCGCAAUGGGCGAAAGCCUGACGGAGCAACGCCGCGUGAGUGAUGAAGGUCUUCGGAUCGUAAAACUCUGUUAUUAGGGAAGAACAUAUGUGUAAGUAACUGUGCACAUCUUGACGGUACCUAAUCAGAAAGCCACGGCUAACUACGUG